AACGAACGCUGGCGGCAUGCCUAACACAUGCAAGUCGAACGAGACCGGCGGGUCUAGUGGCGAACGGGUGCGUAAGGGGGGGGAACCUGCCCGUAGGUUCGGAAUCACUGGGCGAAAGGGGGGCUAAUACCGGAUAAUGUCUUCGGACCAAAGAGUUAUCGACUUGGGAUGGGCCAGGGUUGGAUUAGCUAGUUGGGAGGGUAAAAGCCUACCAAGGCGAGGUGCCAUAGCUGGUCUGAGAGGAUGAUCAGCGACACUGAGACUGAGACACGGCGCAGACUCUUGCGGGAGGCAGGAGUGGGUAAUCCUGGACAGCGGGCGAGAGCAUGAUGCACUACUGGCGGGUGAGUGAUGAAGUCCUUAGGGUUGUACAGCUCUUUUAUACGGGAUGAUAAUGACGGUACCGGGAGAAUAAGCUCCGGCUAACUCCGUG
rnacentral:rRNA from 1 species